UCAAAGUCUUUUCCAAUCAUCAUUGAACGUUCUUCCAAAAACAGUCAAUAGUUUUGUAUAAAAUGAUGGCUCCUCUCGGUUUGGACAUCUUAAAACUACAACUGAAAUACAUCGAGCAUUGAGCCCAUGGAUGUUUGUUCACAGUUUUCUAUUCCGUUUCCAUUUGGGCCUGUAUGAGGUCGAUUUCUGCAAAUCUCUGAAGGAGAAGAAAAGGGUGACCCCCUUUAGCGAUUGAGGUGGCGAGGACUUAAAAAGUUUGCGCACCGAUCUAACGGGGCUGUACAGUGACUCUAUGAAGACUUUCACCAAAUACACCCCAUUGGUAGAAAUUAACCUGGAAACCAAGGUGGUGAGGUCACCUUUCCAUAAUAUAUUGUAAUCAUCGCAACAUGUACCAAUUCGGUUAAACCAAUCAGUUCAAUGAUAUAUUGGAAAAAACAUGGCGGACAUGAAGCAUGUGGCCACACUCUUUAUAUGCAGUUACUGUGGUGUGAGGAUCUAAAGACCCCAUCUCGAGGAUACUUUGUUCAUCCCUACACCUUUUGUGUAAAUUAUGUAAAAUUUUGAAAACUGUUUCUUCUGAUAUUGAACUUUGUUUGCAAUAAUGAAACUAUAAUUCUUC